rnacentral:lncRNA from 1 species
UACCAAGUGCAUUUUUUUAAAACGUCCCUUUGAUACUUCUUUCCCUCAUGCUUGCCAUGGAAUAUGCAACUCCUUAAGAAUGUUACACAAGAGACGUCGGUAUCCCAGCUGGAUAAUUCAUAAGCUUAAAAGCAACAGCCUUUCUUGGUACGCCUGCUUUGGCAUACAUCAGCAUUUCUACCCGUCCAAGUGUCCUUUUGCGUCACAU